GACCAGAUAGCUCAGGUGGUAAAGCGCAAGACUCUUUAAUUCUCUGAGUUGUGGGUUCAAGCCCCAUGUUAGUCA